rnacentral:lncRNA from 1 species
UUAAAGUUGAGAAUAAAAAUUCUAUAUUGUAAAAUUUAUUAAAAAUAUGUAAUUGAACCAAAUUGAGUUAUAUAGUCAUUAAUUAUUUCUUUUUUGAAAUCUGCAAAUAAAAAUGAACGUACAAAUAUAUAUUUUCUAUAUAAAAAGACAAAUAAGCUACAUUAACACAAUCGAAAAUGCUAGCUAGCUACGAAUACAAUGUACAUGCAUUUAGAUGCAGUAAUUAAGCGGAGAGGCAGCUAAAAACUAUGUUAUCAUUCUGAAAAGUAGCAGUAGCAGUAGCAGUAGCUGCAGCAGCAGGCGAUGGCCGGGCUUUGUUCUCUUUGUCAAGAUGAUGAUCACUACUCCUCCUCGGCCUGCUGGAUUCUGAUCUGGUUCCACUUGCAGCUGCCCUUUUCUCGAUUCUUCUUCUCAUUACAUAUUCUUCCGAAAUAAAUACAUCCAUUUAUGAUUAUAUAUAUAUAUAUAUAUAUAUAUAUGAUAUGAUGAUCAGUUUUGAAGAAAUUAUAAAGAGGUGACAAUGUUGUUACAAGUCCUACGGUACGUAGAAUAAAU